GAGGAAUUCUAGACUGCUUCUAUUUCUCCCAGUGGGCUGCUCUAAAAGUCAAUGUAAUAUACUUACACAUCUCACUUCGUGAUGAAUACCAGAGAUUGAGAAUUUCCUCCACCACACCUCACUUUAUAGCAUUUAGGGGUUAACACUUACAGUAGACUUCUAUCCAAGAGCCAACUUUACAUUAACCCUGUAAUGUCCAUACAGAUAGCAAAUGCCAUCAAUGAUUUGUAAAUCAUGUUUGAAAACGAUGCUCACUUUAAUUACCAUCU